CCAGGCUGAGAGGCUGCUACCGAGCGCAUCAAUGGGAAGGAGCGUCGAACCGUCGAUGCGCUCUCGCACUGCAGAAAUACAAUCCUGAAGGAGAUAAGAUUUUUCUUGCACCAGGGCAAUAAAAUUCCAAAUUAACAGUUUCUGAGCCUUCAACGUUAACUGAGAAAAAUUAACAGCCUACGUGGGACCCCUACCACAAAGAAAAAUGCAUGUGGGGAGGUGGGUCUCUUAACGAGUAUAUAAACCUGAGACCUAGACCAUGGUGUGGCAACUCAUUCUGAGACGCCUUCCCCUUGGAUACUCUGCCUUUUCCUUCUCCUGUCUCUCAAUAAACUUCUCUUGCUAUUCCUUC